rnacentral:rRNA from 1 species
GACGAACGCUGGCGGCGUGCUUAACACAUGCAAGUCGAACGCUGAAGCUCAGCUUUUGUUGGGUGGACGAGUGGCGAACGGGUGAGUAACACGUGAGUAACCUGCCCCCUUCUUUGGGAUAACGCCCGGAAACGGGUGCUAAUACUGGUUAUUCCCUGGUCUUCGCCUGGGGGCUGGUGGAAAGGGCUUUUCUGGUGGGGGAUGUGCUCGCGGCCUAUCAGCUUGUUGGUGGGGUGAUGGCCUAACCAGGCAUUGACGCGUAGCCGUCCUGAGAGGGUGAGCGGCCACCCGGGAACUGAGACACGGUGCAGACGCCGAGGGGAGGCAGCGGUAGGGAAGCUGCCGCAAUGGGCGAAAGCGUGACGGAGUGACGCCGCGUGGGUGAGGAAGGGCUGGGGGUCGUAGGACUGUGAACCUCUGGCAGAAAAGAUGAAGAAGCAACAAUGGUUGUGGUGACGGUAGUGGGUCAGGAAGCGCCGGCUAACUACGUG